CCCUUAGAUGUUCUGGGCCGCACGCGCGCUACACUGACGAAUGCAACGAGCUUAUAACCUUGGCCGAAAGGUCUGGGUAAUCUCCAAAUUUCGUCGUGAUGGGGAUAGAUUAUUGCAAUUAUUAAUCUUCAACGAGGAAUGCCUAGUAAGCGCAAGUCAUCAGCUUGCGUUGAUUACGUCCCUGCCCUUUGUACACACCGCCCGUCGCUCCUACCGAUUGAAUGGUCCGGUGAAGCGCUCGGACCGCGGCCUCUUGACGGUUCGCUGUCGAUUGGCUGUGGGAAGUUCGUUAAACCUUAUCAUUUAGAGGAAGGAGAAGUUGUAACA
rnacentral:rRNA from 1 species